AAUUUUCCGCAAUGGGGCGAAAGCCUGACGGAGCAAGACCGCGUGGGGAGAGGAAGGUUCUUGGAUUGUCAACCCCUUUUCUCAGGGAAGAACGCAAUGACGGUACCUGAGGAAAAAGCAUCGGCUAACUCCGUGCCAGCAGCCGCGGUAAUACGGGGGAUGCAAGCGUUAUCCGGAAUGAUUGGGCGUAAAGAGUCCGUAGGUAGUCAUCCAAGUCUGCUGUUAAAGAGCGAGGCUUAACCUCGUAAAGGCAGUGGAAACUGGAAGACUAGAGUGUAGUAGGGGCAGAGGGAAUUCCUGGUGUAGCGGUGAAAUGCGUAGAGAUCAGGAAGAACACCGGUGGCGAAGGCGCUCUGCUGGGCUAUAACUGACACUGAGGGACGAAAGCUAGGGGAGCGAAUGGGAUUAGAUACCCCAGUAGUCCUAGCGGUAAACGAUGGAAACUAGGUGUGGCCUGUAUCGACCCGGGCCGUGCCGAAGCAAACGCGUUAAGUUUCC
rnacentral:rRNA from 1 species